rnacentral:rRNA from 1 species
UACGUAGGUGGCAAGCGUUGUCCGGAUUUACUGGGCGUAAAGAGCGCGCAGGCGGUCGUUCAAGUCGCGUGUGAAAGCCCCCGGCUCAACUGGGGAGGGUCACGCGAUACUGAUCGACUCGAAGGCAGGAGAGGGUAGUGGAAUUCCCGGUGUAGUGGUGAAAUGCGUAGAUAUCGUGAGGAAGACCAGUGGCGAAGGCGGAUCUCUGGACAGUUCCUGACGCUGAGGCACGAAGGCCAGGGGAGCAAACGGG